rnacentral:rRNA from 1 species
GGGGAUUUUGACCGUCCCCGUGCCGUAGCUAACGCGUUAAGUGCGCCGCUGGGAGUACGGCCGCAAGGCUAAAACUCAAAGAAAUUGACGGGGGCCCGCACAAGCGGAGGAGCAUGUGGCUUAAUUCGAUGCAACGCGAAGAACCUUACCAGGGCUUGACAUGCAGCUGCACGUCCGUCGAAAGGCGGAAAGCUUUCGAAGGCGCUGCACAGGUGGUGCAUGGCUGUCGUCAGUUCGUGCCGUGAGGUGUUUGGUUAAGUCCAGCAACGAACGCAACCCCUGUGUUUAGUUGCCACCGCGGGUGAUGAGCCUGCGAGCACUCUAGACAGACUGCCCGUACAAGCGGGAGGAAGGUGGGGAUGACGUCAAGUCAGUAUGUCCCUUAUGUCCUGGGCUGCACACGUGCUACAAUGGUCGGUACAAUGGGAAGCGAAGCCGCGAGGCGAAGCAAAUCCCCAAAGCCGGCCCCAGUUCGGAUUGGAGUCUGCAAUUCGACUCCAUGAAGUUGGAUUCGCUAGUAACGGCGUAUCAGCUACGACGCCGUGAAUACGUUCCCGGGCCUUGUACACACCGCCCGUCACAUCAUGAAAGCCGUCUGCACCCGAAGUCCCCGACUAGUUCGAGGCCGAAGGUGUGGGUGGUGAUUGGGAUGAAGUCGUAACAAGGUAACCAAGGGCGAA